rnacentral:rRNA from 1 species
UACGGAGGGGGCAAGCGUUGUUCGGAAUCACUGGGUGUAAAGGGUGCGUAGGCGGUCCGUUAAGUCUGAUGUGAAAGCCCUGGGCUCAACUCAGGAAUUGCAUUGGAAACUGGCGGGCUGGAGUACGGGAGAGGGAAGCGGAAUUCCUGGUGUAGCGGUGAAAUGCGUAGAUACCAGGAGGAACACCGGUGGCGAAGGCGGUUUCCUGGCCCAGUACUGACGCUGAGGCACGAAAGCGUGGGGAGCGAACGGG